rnacentral:rRNA from 1 species
UACGUAGGGUGCAAGCGUUGUCCGGAAUUAUUGGGCGUAAAGAGCUCGUAGGCGGUCUUGCGCGUCGGAUGUGAAAACUCGGGGCUCAACCCCGAGCCUGCAAUCGAUACGGGCAGACUAGAGUGCUGUAGGGGAGAGUGGAAUUCCUGGUGUAGCGGUGAAAUGCGCAGAUAUCAGGAGGAACACCGGUGGCGAAGGCGGGUCUCUGGGCAGUAACUGACGCUGAGGAGCGAAAGCGUGGGGAGCAAACAGG